rnacentral:piRNA from 1 species
UGGGAUGUUUGAUUUUAGCUUCCUCUCCGU